rnacentral:rRNA from 1 species
CCUACGGGAGGCAGCAGUAGGGAAUCUUCCACAAUGGGCGCAAGCCUGAAGGAGCAACGCCGCGUGGGUGAAGAAGGUCUUCGGAUUGUAAAACCCUGUUGUUAGAGAAGAAAGUGCGGGAGAGUAACUGUUCACGUUUCGACGGUAUCUAACCAGAAAGCCACGGCUAACUACGUGCCAGCAGCCGCGGUAAUACGGAGGUGGCAAGCGUUAGCCGGAUUUAUUGGGCGUAAAGGGAACGCAGGCGGUCUUUUAAGUCUGAUGUGAAAGCCUUCGGCUUAACCGGAGUAGUGCAUUGGAAACUGGGAGACUUGAGUGCAGAAGAGGAAGGUGGAACUCCAGGUGUAGCGGUGAAAUGCUUAGAUAUAUGGAAGAACACCGAUGGCGAAGGCGGCUCUCUGGUCUGUAACUGACGCUGAGGUUCGAAAGCGUGGGUAGCAAACAGGAUUAGAUACCCUAGUAGUC